rnacentral:snRNA from 1 species
GUGCUCGCUUUGGCAGCACACAUCCUAAAACCGGAACAACACAGAGAAGAUUAGCAUGGCCCCUGCGCAAGGAUGACACACAAAUUUGUGAAGCAUUCCAUAUAUUU